GCGAUCGCUCCCGACGACGGUAUGUGUGUAAAUACACAACAAUUCAAACUAUUUACGAAUCCAAUCGAUCGGUCGACUCUAAUCGAAGCGAAAUAUCGCACCACGCGCAACAAUGUAGCCACCACCCCACAAGAUGGUGGUACGUGUACGACAUCCACAGGGAGGUGUUCGUUUAUUUAUUAGCGAAAUUUGCAUAACCCAUUGAUUCCGAGCAGCCCCAGGUAAACAACAACAUAUAUUGCACCCGUGAAAACGAGAAAAUAUCGGCCGAGUUAAAUAUUGCUGUGUAUCGAGCGCUUCACUUCGGUCUAUUUACGAAGAAAAGUCAGAAUUGGUUUGAAAUGCUGAGAUUUAGUUUGUUUGGCUAUUUAUAAUUGCUUGUCAUUUCAUACACGCGCGACAGGUGCGUAAAACGUCACCCAUUGCGCGC